UAAAACCAAUGAUGAAGAAAAGUUAUCCCUGUCUCAGUUAACAAUGCCGACACUUUUCUAAUUACUGAGGUUUUU